rnacentral:rRNA from 1 species
ACAGAGGGUGCGAGCGUUGUCCGGAAUCACUGGGCGUAAAGGGCGCGUAGGCGGCCUGAUAAGUCGGGGGUGAAAUCCUGUGGCUCAACCGCAGGGCUGCCUCCGAGACUGUCGGGCUCGAGCACAGUAGAGGCAGGUGGAAUUCCCGGUGUAGCGGUGGAAUGCGUAGAGAUCGGGAAGAACAUCGGUGGCGAAGGCGGCCUGCUGGGCUGUUGCUGACGCUGAGGCGCGACAGCGUGGGGAGCAAACAGGA